UACUUCAUAACUGUAAUUUGCUACUGUUACAAAUCAUAAUGCAAGUAUCUGAUAUGCAGGAGCUCCUUCUAGGGCUAAAGAGAGAAACCAACGUGGUUCCAGCAAAUAGCUCUACAGAACACCCUCAUUCUAGCCCACACCCCCCGCCAUCAUUAUCUCAGGUCCCUCCCUCCCCUCAGAUGUUUUGCUUCAGUGAUCAAUCUCCUGCUUUGCUUCCCUCACUGGACACCCUAUGCCGUCUGCACCCGCCUGCAUGCAGUCCUCUUUGACCCCGCUCUUCCCCAAAUAUGGCACAAAGUUGAAAGGCACCUCCAAGUCAGGAUCUUGGUGCAGCACUCGCCUCUCCCUAGGUCUGGACCAACCCGAGGAACACUGGAUGCCUGGUACCAGGCACGGCAUUCUCUCUGCCAAUGUCUCCACAAAAGUAUUUCACCAGUCGCAUUCCCAGUACCAGCUUGUCAGAUCGGGCCAGGUUUAAGAGCAGCAAAUGAAAAUUCCACUGACCUCUAAAAUAGAUCCUCAUCUCUUAUAAAUGCAGCUAUGAAAUGCAAGCCUCAGGACAGCAUGGCCCAGUCACCUCCAACUCACAGGAGCCAGCUUCCCUUUCAGCAUCAGCAAGCUGACCCCGCCUCUUCUCUGUACCCUCCUUCCCUGGAGAUCCCAAACCGUCCAUUACACACUGCUGCCUGCAAUUGCUCUCCUGACGCCCCUGCUGUAACUUCUCGCAACACAAGUAUGUCUAUUCAUUGAAUCAGACAUGAUUUCACAGGACCACAGGCUACGCUCGCUUCUGGGUGAGCUGUGAUGGCCUUCACUGAACUGUCAUCCAGUACCCACAGAAGGGUCUACUUGAAGAAGCUGGUUCAAGGUUGGGGAUUUGGCUCAGUGGUAGAGCGUUUGCCAGGCAAGCACAAGGCCCUGGGUUCGGUCCCCAGCUCCAGGGGAAAACAAAACAAAACAAAACGUACAUAAGAAGCUGGGUCAAGGAAGUACACAGGGCAUUUUACGGUUCUCUGUUAUUUCACCUGCUGACAGUAAAUGACCACUAUAGCUCUUUUCCUGGGAGAUUAGAACAGAGAGCCACAUGGGUGAGGAGAUGGAGCAGAAGGCUGGGAACAGCAGAGCUUCUUGCCUACCCUUCUGAAUCAGGAGACAAAACUGCCAGUCAGCUGCUGGUGGGUGGGCAUGAACAAUGACUCCAUGUCCCCCCUAUACCUGUGGACCAAGACAUUCUCCAGGGCCAUCCCUACACCAAACCAGGGGAUAAAUGGAUGAAUGUGGUCUCCUGCCCUGGGUGAAGGGAGAUCCUAAGGGAGAGUCUGUCAAGUCCCAUUCGUGUCCAGACUCUCAAGACGCCUGGGCUGUGGACCAGUGGUGCCUCUAGGAUAGCAGCCAUGUGCUGGAUCACCUCCUCAGUGUUUUCUUCCAUUUUGGGUGCAGUCUACUAGCCUGUACUCCUGUGUGCUUUGGCUCCCCAAGGCAUCCACAGAUCCUGUGCCAGUCCUGCUCAGAGCUCUCCAUGAGCAUCCCCCUGCUGCUUCUCCACCCUUGCCCACUGGCCUUUCCCAGCUUGAGAUGUCAACUAUAUUCCCCACUCUGCUUCCCACCAAGAGGCUAGAUUUCCUCGCAGCAUCUGGUCUCUUCUAGAUAGAUGGUUCUGGUCUUAGUACUGAGUGUGCCAACCUCUGCACACCCAGCAACCUUCCUCUAUGUCGUCACUCUUGUGUAACCAUUGUUACGCACCUUUUCCACUGCUCCUCCGGUUGUGUGAAAGGUGUCAACAAACAUUUACCACAGAAAUGGCCUGGUAAACCAGUCUGGGUAAUGUAUCCCGAACAGGUGUCGGCCACAUAUUACAAGUGAGAAGCUGGUCUGGGCAACCUUUGAGCCACUGCUGGUAGCCAGUUUUAAACUCUAUUACACCUCCAAAAUGCAGCAAGGCCUUCCUUACCUUCUGCAGAUAACCUUUCAGGAAAAAAAUGACAGGACAUCCCAUGGGGACAGCUGUCCUUCUCAAAGGUAAUCUAAGACAGCCUUGUAAUUGUAGCUGACUUUGUAUGGCACAGGCUUCCCUGAACAUCAACUCCUGUCUCAGCCUCCAGAGUACUGGGAUUAUAAGCAUUUGCCAUCAACUUAGCUGUGGUUGGUGUUUUAAUUUACCCAUUUGUCUUCUGGAAAAACAAACUACCUUGUCUGUUCCCCCAAAGAGAACAACUAGUAUAUUCUUUGCUGACAUUUGCGCAAAAGCAUGAAUCACAGACAGAAAAACAAACUCCAUAAGGAGAAAACUUAGUGCUUUUUCCUGAGCUAAAGGUUUUAUUUCGGAGUAAAGCAGUGAUUUCAGGGCAAGUCUGAGGAAGCAGCUGCAGUAGGUAAGAUGUGGAAAGCCGGUAGGUUUGAAGCAAAAUAUGGUUGGAGUGUGUAAGUGAUCGUGUCUCAGGGACUACUCUGAACUCUCCAGGGAGUACUGUCUCCGCCACCCGGGUGGUUCCCACAGUCAAGAGAUUUCAGGUUUUACCCUGAAAAAUGCCUUCAGGACCCCAAACGGGACUCUGCAAAGGCACCGCCAUCGGAGGAUUCUGACCGGCUCUAGAUAUGUUUUAAAAAGAUGCGUUGGCAGCUUUAAAUUCAGGCACAGGUCCACGUGUCUCCAGCUCACAUUCUUGCUUCUACCAUUUUAAACCACCUCGGAGGAGGGGGACGCUUGUGAGCAUGUGUGAAGAGGCCCUCAUCCACUACAAGAAGGGUUCCCGGGGAUAAGCGCGCCCUCGCCCACCGCUGUAAUCAUUCUAGAAAUGACUCACCAAGCUCUCAAGCCUCAGAGCACCACCAAGCAGACAGCUGCUAGCUUCCUGCAUCAACAGGACCAAGGACUACUGUGGUCCCAGAGGUAACUGACUCUGGUGGGAAGGAACUGUAUUGGACUCUGCCAAGGGGACCUUCUGGAUGAAUGAGGAACUGGGGUACUAUGCUGACAGACUCCCACCUCCUGCUGCUGCGCUCACCUACCUUGGAGAUCCCUGAAAUUAUGAUGGUGCUUUUCUUCCGUGGGGACUUCAGUUUCAGCUUUGAGGACUCGCUGAGCUGCCGAAUGGCAACUUCAGCCACAGGAUCUGAGCUGUUCAGUACCAACAGUUCUGCCAGAAAGAAGGUAGCACUGAGUUCAGUAGCAAACUUAACAAGCUCCAAGCAAAGCCCCAGAACAGGGGGCAGGAUAGUCUAUAAGCAGUGGUCGGCAGGCAUUUGGAAGAAGGAGGGAGAAAGUAAGUUGGGGUUUUUUUCCCAACUUAUCUCCGCAUAAAGUAGAAGCAGACAGGAGCCACAUGUAAAUGAACAGGCAAGGCCUGGUUCUGGUAAAACUUUAUUUUCGGAAACAAA
rnacentral:sRNA from 1 species